rnacentral:rRNA from 1 species
UAAGGAAUAUUGCGCAAUGGGGGAAACCCUGACGCAGCAACGCCGCGUGGAGGAUGACACUUUUCGGAGCGUAAACCCCUUUUAUCAGGAAAGAAUAAUGACGGUACCUGAUGAAUAAGCACCGGCUAACUCCGUGCCAGCAGCCGCGGUAAUACGGGGGGUGCAAGCGUUACUCGGAAUCACUGGGCGUAAAGGACGCGUAGGCGGAUUAUCAAGUCUUUUGUGAAAUCUAGUGGCUUAACCACUAAACUGCUUAGGAAACUGAUAGUCUAGAGUAGGGGAGAGGUAGAUGGAAUUCUUGGUGUAGGGGUAAAAUCCGUAGAGAUCAAGAAGAAUACCCAUUGCGAAAGCGAUCUGCUGGAACCUAACUGACGCUGAGGCGUGAAAGCGUGGGUAGCAAACAGG